CUGACCUAGAACACACACAGAAAAGCACAAAAAGACAUGUUUUGUUUACUUUACACCUUUACAGUUUCAUGCAUCUACUAUUGCAUUCGUUAUAAUGAAAAGAUCAGAUUUUACGCCGCAUGCUGAGAUGAUAAAGUGUCACUUCACAGCUUGUUUCAUGCACCUGUGCUUGACGCACGCUCACAGACUACGUUCAAAAGAGUUUUUAAAAGUGAAGCGGAGGGUGAAGAAGAGACAAAUAGAGACAAGUUGGCAGAAGAAACAAAGUCAUCUUGUGUGUUUUUGUGUGUGUUUGCCUGUGAAAUUAUUUGCAAAGAUUCCUGCAGCUAGAAACGAAUUGAAUAAUGCCUGCUGGAAGUUUGCUUCCACAAAAAGAAAAGUACCAAGCAUUGUUUCUACUGAACCACAAUAACAUAAAAUGAAAUAAAAAUCUAAUUCUGGACAUUUUCCCUUUGUAACUCCUCCUCACAAGAACCUGCAUGAGAUAGUUUGUUUUCUAACAGAAGUGUUACAGACAUGCACAGGUGGAUCGGAGGCACGGGGCCGGCUGCAGAACAGCUGGCAUGGGCACAGUUUUGCUCAAGGACACAAUAGAUGAGCAGGUGCUUUCUGAAAUAGAUAUGUAAAACAUAAAGAAAUAUCCAGUUGGUUGGUUUGUGUGCAUGUUUUCAUUCUGAUUAUUAAAAUGAUUUUGUCACAUGCCUAAUUGCAAAGAUGCUUAUAUUUUGUUUAGAUUUCAGGAUGACAGAUAUUUCUGCCCACUUCAAAGUCAGAUGUUUCACAAGGCAUGUGGUGGAAUAAGAAGACACCAAUAGCAUAGGAAGUCCCAAGAACUGUGGCAUGUUGUCCAAGAAUGUUUCUCAAUUUGGAUCCAUCUCUAAACAACAAUCCUUUAAAAAAGAAACACUUACAGCACUCCUAUGUGUUUUCACUCCCACUUUGGACCUCCGGGCUUACCUAGCAGGGUUUUUUCUGUUUCAAGUUUCAAGUUCACUUAUUUUGUCAACAUUUGCAGUGCUCUCUAGCAUAAAUUAAUGCCUUGUGAGUCAAUCUUGAGGAAAUGAGCUCUUGUGCUCCUGUUUCAGGAUCUAGAAUGAGCCAGAGCAGACAAAGAGCAGCAGGAUGGAUUUGGAGUCUUAUUUCCUGAUAUUUGGAUAGCUCUUCUCUGAUUGGAUAACAGAGAAAGCAACUCUACCACUGCCUCUGUUUGCUCUGCAAUGCUGAUGUUUUAUCUCCACAAAUAACACAACCCCGGAGGAGUUCUGCUGUGUGGUGGAAUUGCUAAUGCUAACAGUUAGCUUUUACUAGUCGAGACGUGCUCUGCUGUUUCCUGGAUGCUUAAACAACAACAUUUUUCUCCUUCGCGAGCUGAGAUGGGUGAGUCCAUGAACAUUAAGGGAGUGUGACAUAGGCUGGCUUUUCUAAUCCCAGAGUUUCCCCGUCUAUUUUCAAUCCCUCGCUAAUGCAGGAAAUGGGAUAGAAGACUAUUUUCACACUGAGCCUGCAUGUAAACUCAGAGUGACCGACCAUAUUUUAAAAAGAACAAGAAAAAAACAGCUUCUCAGUGGAAUUGAUUUUUAAGUGCUCUGCAGUUCAGUUGGUCCUUAUUUUGUUCAUGUGACUAAUUCAUCAAGUAGAUUCAGUUUUAUAGAUGUUAUCUAUGUUUUAAACCAGUGUCUAAAUGUUGCAGUAUUUAUUUGAUAUUCAUCAUAAAUAUGUCAGAAAUUAGACACUUUUAUUAUUUAUACUGUAAUCAUCACAAAACAUAUAACUUUGCCACCUACUGCCAAAACUGUUUUUCACGUGUUACAUUAUCAGAAAACUAAAAAAUCAAAGGCUGCUACUGAUCGAAGCCUACUGUAUAUAUUUCUAUUACUUCUAUAGUAGAAAUUCUACUUUAUUUCAAAUAUAUACAUCAUUAAAACAAUCUAAUGCUCUGAGAAUUUCUUAUUAUUCUUCUUUUGACAAGAGGAUGUAUGAAUGAAUGAAUGGACGAACGAACAAAUGAACAACUUAAUUAAUUAAUUAAUUAUUGAUAAGAAUUUUUGCUACAUUUUAGGAGAAUUUUAUAACUGAGUUGAGUCUUUUUUUAUGGAAAUUCAAGUUCAGAAUAAUAAUAUGAUCACUAUUUAUAGUUUAAAUCCAUUCAUGAAGCCUUAAGCCAGUUAAUUAAGACCUAAGUGUAACUUUAUGUUAUUUACGUGUUUGGGAAUCAUGUUGUGUCACCAUGUGAGCUCAGGUCUUAGAGAAAUGAUAAACCAAAAUAGAGUGGAUGACAUUGUUUAUCAUGGGAAAAGAAUCCAAAACAGAAGUGAUAUAUCAGCUCUGUGGCAGGAGGGAACUUCAGUCCCUCAUCAAUUCCCAGACUCACCUGUCGUCCUCAGUACAAUAAAAUCACAAAAGAAAUCACGGAAUAAUCUGACCUGAUCAGAACUAAAAUGUAAAAUUUUCAGGUCCUUCGUGUUCGCCUCCAUCUCUUCAGACCAAGUGCAAAAUUCAAUUCAAAAAUACUUUAUUAAUCCCAGAGGGAAAUUGAUUGCUGCAGUAGCUCAGAAUAAUAAUAAUAAUAAAGUCAUCAAAGAGUUAUUGUAUAUUACAUUGGCUUUUGGCAGGAAGGAUCUCCAGUAGUGGCCAGUGUUGCAGCAAAACUAAAGAAGCCUCUGACUGAAGACACUCUUCCGUUGUUGGACAGUCUUGUGAAGAGAAUGCUCAGGGUUGUCCAUAAUUUUUUUGAUCCUCUGGAGAAUCCUUCUUUGCAUUAUCUCAUCCAGUGGUUCCACAGUCGUUCCCAGAACAGAACCAGCCUUUUUUAUUAGGCUGUUGAGCCUUUUCAGGUCCCUGCUUCUGAUGCUACUACCCCAACAGAUGAUGGCUGAAGAGAUUACACUCUUAACAACAGACUUGUAGAAGAUCUGCAGCAUCUUGCUACAGACAUUGAAGGACCUAAGUGUCCUCAAGAAGUGCAGUCUGCUGUGUCCCUUCUCGUAAACGGCUUUGCUGUUCUUUCUCCAGUCCAGUCUGUUGUCCAGGUGAACUCCAAGGUCAGAUGAUUGUUUCCACACCAUGCCACAAAGUGCUCCACCAGCUCUCUGUACUCAGCUUCCUGUCCAUACACCCGACAACUGCAGAGUCAUCUGAGUAUUUCUGUAGAUGGCAGGUCUCUGAUUUGUACUGGAAGUCUGAGGUGUACAGGGUGAAAAGGAAUGGUAGUCUUUAAUCCAGGUGAUAGCUGAGGUCCCCACCUGUGUCUUCGGGAGUUUCUGGCAAAGUACAUCAGGCUGGAUUGUGUUAAGUGCACUGGAGAAAUCAAAGAACAUGACCCUCACAGUGCUGCCUGCUUUGUCCAGAUGACAGUGGGUUGGUUGAAGCAGCUGGAUGAUGGCAACGUCAACUCCAACUCCAUGGCGAUAAGCAAACUGCAGCGGGUCCUGAUAUGUUCUAGUUUGCUUAUUCAGGUGGACCAACAGGAGUCUCUCCAGGACCUUCAUGAUGUGGGAUGUCAGGGCAACCGGUCUGUAGUCAUUGACUGAUGUGCGAGUUUUCUUUGGAACUGGAACAAGGCAGGAUGUCUUCCACAGCACUGGAACCUUCUCCUGGGCCAGGCUAAGGUUGAAGAGGUGCUGCAGAAUCCCAGAGAGCUGCUCUGCACAGGCCUUCAAUACCCUGGGGCUGACACCAUCUGGACCUGCAGCCUUGUUCCUGUUCGGUCUCUCCAGCUGCCUCUUUACCUGACU